CUACAUCUCCUGAUAGACCUAGAAUCCUUAGUGGCUGUUCUUGUUAUGUGUACUAGGAUGCAGAGGAAACUGCUGCUGGUGCUUUUUCUCUGUUACCGUGGUCCAGAUUGAUGUAGUUAGACAUAG
ensembl:snoRNA Gm25011 predicted gene, 25011